rnacentral:rRNA from 1 species
AGCAGUCGCCGCGGUAAUGCGUAGGUGGCAAGCGUUGUCCGGAAUUAUUGGGCGUAAAGGGCUCGCAGGCGGUUUCUUAAGUCUGAUGUGAAAGCCCCCGGCUCAACCGGGGAGGGUCAUUGGAAACUGGGAAACUUGAGUGCAGAAGAGGAGAGUGGAAUUCCACGUGUAGCGGUGAAAUGCGUAGAGAUGUGGAGGAACACCAGUGGCGAAGGCGACUCUCUGGUCUGUAACUGACGCUGAGGAGCGAAAGCGUGGGGAGCGAACAGGAUUAGAUACCCCGGUAGUCCCUGUCUCUUAUAC